GGUGCAAGUCGUCUUGCCGCUCCGAUCCCGAUGACUAUCGGGACUUUCGGGGAGGAAAGUCCGGGCAACACAGAGCGCCAUACUUCCUAACGGGAAGGGUGUCGACUGGUGACGGUCGGCAUACAGCCAGUGCCACAGAAACAAACCGCCACUCACGCUCAGGGCUUGCCCCGAGCAAGUCGAGGGGUAAGGGUGAAAAGGUGGGGUAAGAGCCCACCGUCCCGCUGGUGACAGCUGGAGCUAGGCAAACCUUAUGGGUUGAAAGAUCAAAUAGACCCCGGGCAAAGAGCUGCUCGUUCGAUUCUCGCCUCGGCGGGAUUCCGGGGUGGGUAGAUCGAUGGACCCCUGUCGCGAGGCAGGGGCUAGAUAAAUGGCAAGAAUCCCUGCGGAGCAAUCCGUAGUUGAUACAGAACCCGGCUUACAGACUUGCACUUUUU
rnacentral:RNase_P_RNA from 1 species